rnacentral:tRNA from 1 species
GCUGCGAUGGCCGAGUGGUUAAGGCGUUGGACUUGAAAUCCAAUGGGGUCUCCCUGCGCAAUUUCGAACCCUGCUCGCAGCG